GGCAUGUAGCUCAGUGGUACAGUGUCUGUUUGGCAUGCAGACAGGUCCCAGGUUCAAUCCUAGCAUCUCCU